AUUGAACGCUGGCGGCAGGCCUAACACAUGCAAGUCGAACGGUAACAGGAAGCAGCUUGCUGCUUCGCUGACGAGUGGCGGACGGGUGAGUAAUGUCUGGGAAGCUGCCUUAUGGAGGGGGAUAACUACUGGAAACGGUAGCUAAUACCGCAUAAUGUCGCAAGACCAAAGAGGGGGACCUUCUGGCCCCUUGCCAUCGGAUCUGCCCAGAUGGGAUUUGCUUUUUGGUGGGGUAACGGCUCACCAAGGCGACGAUCCCUAGCUGGUCUGAGAGGAUGACCAGCCACACUGGAACUGAGACACGGUCCAGACUCCUACGGGAGGCAGCAGUGGGGAAUAUUGCACAAUGGGCGCAAGCCUGAUGCAGCCAUGCCGCGUGUAUGAAGAAGGCCUUCGGGUUGUAAAGUACUUUCAGCGGGGAGGAAGGGAGUAAAGUUAAUACCUUUGCUCAUUGACGUUACCCGCAGAAGAAGCACCGGCUAACUCCGUG
rnacentral:rRNA from 1 species